AGCAAGUUGCCUGAGCUCACAUCGUCAAGUGACACAGCCAGGAUUUACACCCAGGCUCUCUAACGUCAGAGGCUGCCAGGUCCAUGCCCAGGGCUACUCUGGAGACACACAUUUCCCUUCUUACUACCAGUUGUAGAGUCCUGGGCUUUUUACCUCACCUCUACCAGGUAAACAGCAGCAGUGCCCCAGGGAAGAAGCCUAGCCCACUUCACCUCUGUUUGCAGGAUGAUAGAUUCCUGCCGAAUUUUCAGAGAAUGAUUCGAAAUGAGGCCAGAGAGAGGAUAAUGGAGAGCAUUUAGAAGCCUGCCUUACUACUUAUCUUUGGUUUUAGCUCAUGAUUGCUUAAAAAAUUUCUUAUUAGCAUGAGAGAGAGAGAGAGAGGAAAAGAAGACUGAAAAUAAACAUUUUUUACACCAAAAAAUGUAGUGGGAGAUUUGUAGGCUUUUCUGCCAGACUGCAGGCUACAAGACAGAUUUGUGGGUAAAACCUAAGCUCUUCGUGUUUGUUCUUUCUCAUUUCGUCUCUUGUAUGCUUAGUGCACAUUAAAGAAAAGCUAAUUAGGCUAUGAUAGGAAAAGCACAAAUAAUCCUCAUUCCUAAACAAUGCUAUCUAUUCACUGCAAAAUAUUUGCAUGAAAAGGUAUUUUCUUAUUUUGAGGGAAAUAAAGGUAGCGAAUGAACUGCCCUACUUUAUAUUUUAGUUUCUGACUGUAUGUUCUUAAAAUGUCUCAAUAAUCCGAACAUAGAUUUUCAAAUCUGGGUUUCCUAAUCCAAAGCCAAAUGGAUUGAGAAUAGGUUUUAUAGGCCAUUGGUGCCAAUACAUAUUUCUAGAUGAUGGUUAUAAAACAAAAUAUUUUUUUUAAAUUUUUUUGAAGCAGAGUCUCCCUCUGUUGCCUGGGCUGGAGUGCAGUGGUGUGAUCUUGGCUCACUGAAACCUCUGCCUACUGGGCUUAAGUGGCCCUCCCACCUCACCCUCCCAAGUAGCUGGGACCACAGGCACAUGCUAAUUUUUGUAUUUUUGGUAGAGAUGGGGUUUUGCCCUGUUGCCCAGGCUGGUCUCACCUAAGCUCAAAUGAACCACCCACCUCUGCCUCCUAAAAUGCUGGGAUUACAGGCGUGAGCAACUGCACCUGCCAAGAUUCUUAAUUUCAGUGUAAAUUCGUUUCCUAGGGCUUCCACAACAAGUUACCAAACCCUGGGUGGCUUAAAACAACAGGAUUUCAGGUUCUCGUCAUCUGGAGGUCUGAAGUCUGGAGUCAAGGAAUCAGCACGGCUCUGCUCACUCCGAAGGCUCCAGGAGAGAACCUUUCUUUGCUUCUUCCAGCAUCUGGUGGCUGCAGGCAUUCCCUGGAUUGUGGCAAAGUGUGUGGUGCAACAGCAGAGUGGAAAGAGAAUGUGUGGAUCAGACAUACCUGGGUGGAAACUGACUUUACCAACGACUGGCUGGCUGCAAGACCUUGGCGAUUAUCCUUAACCUAGCCUCAGUCUCAACCUGUGACACGGCAAUGGCAGCUUAGAGAGGUUAAGCUACUUGAGUCACACCCGUGUCAGGUGGAGGAGCUGAACCUUGGAUGCAGGAGUAUCCGUUUCUACUGUCUCAACUCUUCCUAACUGCUUUGGAAUGACAGAAUGAGGAAAUGCACCCAACGUGAAUUUUGCGUUCACCAUUACCUGCAAAAUGUCAGUGGCUAAUGCCAGCUUUGGCUGACUGUCCUGAUAUCCAGAGCAAUGGUUCCUAAAUUUUGGUCCACGGUCCAGUGCCAGCUUAGGACCAAGGAUUCACAGUCUUUGAUGUGAGGAAAAUAAGAACAUAAAAUUGGCCAGGCGUGGUGGCUCACGGCUGUAAUCCCAACAAUUUGGGAGGCCCAGGCGGGCAGAUCACCUGAGGUUGGGAAUUCAAGACCAGCCUGACCAACAUGGUGAAACCCCAUCUCUACUAAAAAUACAAAAACUAGCUGCGCAUGGUCGCGCAUGCCUGUAAUCCCAGCUACUCAGGAGGCUGAGGCAGGAGACUCACUUGAACCCGGGAGAUGGAGGUUGCAGUGAGCUGAGAUCACACCACUGCACUCCAGCCUGGGUGACAGAGCGAGACUCCAUCUCAAAACAAACAAACAAACAAACAACAAACAAAAAACCCAUAAAAUUAAAUGUAUUAAAUUAAAGAACUGCCUUAACUAUGAGAUCAUGUUCAUUCAUUUUUGAGAGUCAAGUGACCCUUCCUUUCAUGAAAUAAUGGUGAUACCCUGAGGUCAGGAGUUCAAGACCAGCCUGGCCAACAUGGUGAAACCCUGUCUCUACUAAAAAUACAGAAAUUAGCCGUAUGUGGUGGCAGGUGCCUGUAAUCGCAGCUACUCGGGAGGCUGAGGCAGGAGAAUCUCUUGAACCUGGGAGAGGGGCUGUUGCAGUGAGCCAAGAUCACACCACUGCACUCCAGCCUAGGCAACAGAGCGAAACUCCAUCUCAAAAAUAAAUAAAUAAAUAAAUAAAUGAAAUAAUGGUGAUAGGAAUUCGUAGUUUUGUUGUUGUUGUUAUUUUUGUUUUUAAGUGCUCUUACUUGGCAAAAUAAACUUAUCAUACUGAGUUGAAAUCCCACUUUUUUUAGAUUGCUGUGGAAUCCCAAUGCCUGAGAAUGAUUGCUAUGGAGAAAGGAGGAAGUAAUAAAGUCCUGGGCCUCUGAGAGCAAAUAGGGAGGUGCCUUUAAUGGAUGAUUUUAGUGGAGACUGCAAUAAAAAUUCCUGUUCAUAAAUAUCACCUUUUCCACUGUGCCCAGCUUACUUUGAGUAGCCCUUGAAAAUAGGACCUAAAAUUCAU
rnacentral:lncRNA from 1 species